rnacentral:rRNA from 1 species
UACGUAGGGUCCGAGCGUUGUCCGGAUUUAUUGGGCGUAAAGAGCUCGUAGGCGGUUUCGUAAGUCGGAUGUGAAAACUCAGGGCUCAACCCGGAGACGCCAUCCGAUACUGCGAUGACUUGAGUCUGGUAGGGGAUCACGGAAUUCCUGGUGUAGCGGUGAAAUGCCCAGAUAUCAGGAGGAACACCGAUGGCGAAGGCAGUGAUCUGGGCCAGUACUGACGCUGAGGAGCGAAAGCGUGGGUAGCAAACAGG